rnacentral:misc_RNA from 1 species
UUGCUUCUGCCCUGGAAAGUCCAGGUUCUUUUCUUGGUUUUGUUCUUUUUUAUGCUUUUGCCUAAUUCAAUUCAUUGUUUUGCUAAUUGUUUGUUCGGAUUCGCUUUCGGCUUUUGAUGUAUAGUUUGUUGAAUUGGGGUCAUUGUAAAGGAUGAAAGAUGACAAGGUUUUGGCAUUAACAUUUAACAAUUUUACAUGUCCUAGAACCAUGUUUAUCACAUAGACACAGUUUAGUUUUAGAGUAGAAAGGAUAAUAAUUUGAAUAUUAUUGAUCUAAUUUUUACCAGAAUAAGAAAGAGAAAGGAAAAUCUAGAGUACUUGGGACAUGCAAUUUUCUUUCUUUUUUUUUUUUUUAGGUCUUCUAUUCUCUUUCCCCUUCAAUAAGCCUAUGCACUUCCGCCCAUUCUCAGAUCAGAUCUCAUCAUUUUGUCUGGUGGGUAACUGGAUUUUCAUAUCACCAGGAAGAAAGAAAACAUGGGUCGUGGAAAGAUCGAGAUCAAGAGGAUUGAAAACCCUACUAACAGGCAGGUCACCUACUCGAAGAGAAGAAAUGGAAUUUUCAAGAAAGCACAAGAGCUCACAGUUCUUUGUGAUGCUAAGGUUUCUCUUAUCAUGUUCUCUAAUACUGGAAAAUUCCAUGAGUUCAUUAGCCCUACUACAACGACAAAGACGAUGUUUGACCAAUAUCAGAACACUUUAGGCAUAGAUCUGUGGAGCACUCAUUAUGAGAGAAUGCAAGAGCACCUAAGAAAGCUGAGAGAGAUCAAUAACAAGUUGAGAAGAGACAUCAGGCAGAGAAUGGGUGAGGAUCUAAAUGAUGCGAGCUUCGCUGAGCUGCGCGGUCUUGAGGAAAGAAUGGAUUCUGCAUUGGAGCUUGUACGUGAAAGGAAGUAUCAUGUGCUCAAAACACAGACAGACACCCGCAGGAAGAAGGUAAGAAAUUUAGACGAAAGACAUGGAGAUCUUCUGUUAGAAUAUGAAGCAAAAUGUGAGGAUCUACAAUAUGGUUUAGUGGAUAAUGAAGGAGAUUAUGAGUCUACAAUUACACUUGCAAAUGGAGCAUCCAAUCUCUAUGCUUUCCGGCUGCACCACGGCCACCCGACGGCUAAUGGAGGAGGGUAUGGAUCCCAGGAACUCCGCCUUGCUUGAGUGGCGCUGCUUAAUUUCCCUCCAUAAACAUCUACUUAAUCUAAUCUAGUCUAAUAUAAAAAUGCAUUCUAAGAAAUGCAAUAUUUAAUGGAAUAAGAUGAAGUUUAUUAUAAUAUAUGAGCUGUGUAGUGUAUGGCCUGAAAGUAGAAUUGGGGGGGCUUUCAGGUGGGUCCUCUUUUGAGUCUUGUGCUUGAAGCAUAUGUCUCUACCAUAUUUAGUUGAAAUGUUUGGAGUCAUUUCUCAUUAUUGUCUCUGAUAUUGGGAACUUAAUUACAUGUAUUUGGAGAAAGUAAUAUUAAUUUCAAAGCACAGAUGCUCUUACUUGCUGAUUUUUGCAAUUGGCAGAGUUCAGGGACUAAUAAACUUG